UACGUAGGUGGCAAGCGUUAUCCGGAUUUAUUGGGCGUAAAGGGAACGCAGGCGGUCCUUUAAGUCUGAUGUGAAAGCCUUCGGCUUAACCGGAGUAGUGCAUUGGAAACUGGGAGACUUGAGUGCAGAAGAGGAGAGUGGAACUCCAUGUGUAGCGGUGAAAUGCGUAGAUAUAUGGAAGAACACCAGUGGCGAAAGCGGCUCUCUGGUCUGUAACUGACGCUGAGGGUCGAAAGCGUGGGUAGCAAACAGG
rnacentral:rRNA from 1 species